AAGAAGAAGAAGAAGAAGAAGGGAUUGAGGGUUUACAGAGUGAAAACUGGUGUAGAGAAGCUAUUCAAGACAAAAAGAAAAAGUGCCCAGCUUUGAACGAGCAUAGAUUACAGUCACACAGCAACAGAAACAGAGAUUUUCAAGAAAAAGAAACGCGAAGAAAAAGAAACUGUUGAAGUCAAUCACUAAACAAAAACGUUAAAAAAGAAAAGCUUUUACAUAUAGAAACACAUACUUUGUUAUCACAAAAGAAAAUGAAUUUACAGAGGGUUUCAGCCAUGGAUAUAAGCAAUGGUGGUAGAGAGUGAAGACAGAGCAGACCCCAGUACACAGAAACACGCUACACAUAGGAAAGGCAUAGGCUUUGAG
rnacentral:misc_RNA from 1 species